rnacentral:rRNA from 1 species
UGGAUUGGUGCCUUCGGGAACUGUGAGACAGGUGCUGCAUGGCUGUCGUCAGCUCGUGUUGUGAAAUGUUGGGUUAAGUCCCGCAACGAGCGCAACCCUUAUCCUUUGUUGCCAGCGGUCCGGCCGGGAACUCAAAGGAGACUGCCAGUGAUAAACUGGAGGAAGGUGGGGAUGACGUCAAGUCAUCAUGGCCCUUACGACCAGGGCUACACACGUGCUACAAUGGCGCAUACAAAGAGGAGCGACCUCGCGAGAGCAAGCGGACCUCAUAAAGUGCGUCGUAGUCCGGAUUGGAGUCUGCAACUCGACUCCAUGAAGUCGGAAUCGCUAGUAAUCGUGGAUCAGAAUGCCACGGUGAAUACGUUCCCGGGCCUUGUACACACCGCCCGUCACACCAUAGGAGUGGGUUGCAAAAGAAGUAGGUAGCUUAACCUUCGGGAGGGCGCUUACCACUUUGUGAUUCAUGACUGGGGUGAAGUCGUAACAAGGUAACCGUAGGAGAAC